AACGAACGCUGGCGGCAUGCCUAACACAUGCGAGUCGAACGAACCCUUCGGGGUUAGUGGCGCACGGGUGCGUAACGUGUGGGAAUCUGCCCUUGGCUUCGGAAUAACAGUUAGAGAUGACUGCUAAUACCGGAUGAUGUCGCAAGACCAAAGAUUUAUCGGCCAGGGAUGAGCCCGCGUAGGAUUAGGUAGUUGGUGGGGUAAAGGCCUACCAAGCCGACGAUCCUUAGCUGGUCUGAGAGGAUGAUCAGCCACACUGGGACUGAGACACGGCCCAGACUCCUACGGGAGGCAGCAGUGGGGAAUAUUGGACAAUGGGGGCAACCCUGAUCCAGCAAUGCCGCGUGAGUGAUGAAGGCCUUAGGGCUGUAAAGCUCUUUUACCCGGGAUGAUAAUGACAGUACCGGGAGAAUAAGCUCCGGCUAACUCCGUGCCAGCCGCCGCAGUAACAC
rnacentral:rRNA from 1 species